rnacentral:rRNA from 1 species
CUGGAAUCGCUAGUAAUCGCGGAUCAGAAUGCCGCGGUGAAUACGUUCCCGGGUCUUGUACACACCGCCCGUCACACCAUGGGAGUCGGAAAUGCCCGAAGUCUGUGACCCAACCGAAAGGAGGGAGCAGCCGAAGGCAGGUCGGAUGACUGGGGUGAAGUCGUAACAAGGUAUC